rnacentral:pre_miRNA from 1 species
UGAAAGACAUGGGUAGUGAGAUGUUUUUUUAUUUCGAUUUCAUCUUACUAGUCUGUCUUUC